rnacentral:rRNA from 1 species
UACGUAGGCGGCCAUAUAAGUCAGAAGUGAAAGGCUACGGCUUAACCGUAGUAAGCUUUUGAAACUGUAUGGCUUGAGUGCAGGAGAGGAAAGCGGAAUUCCUAGUGUAGCGGUGAAAUGCGUAGAUAUUAGGAAGAACACCAGUAGCGAAGGCGGCUUUCUGGACUGAAACUGAUGCUGAGGUACGAAAGCGUGGGGAGCGAACAGGAUUAGAUACCCUGGUAGUCC